GUCAGUUACUUUUGCCUUUGUAACCUUGAGCAAGAAAAACUAAUCAGCAGUUUUAAGCAAGCUGGACAGGAUGGGAGGAGAGUGAGGGUGCCAUUUGUUUCCGUGGAACAUCUUGAAGAUAAAAUCCUGGAAUGUAUACAGAAUACCAUUACAGCUGAUAUUUAUUGCCUACCUACUCUGUGCAGCUUGGUUCCAGUUCUCAUAGCCCUUGCAUUGGUCACAAAAACAAUCGAGAGUAAUUGCAAAGGCAGCCUUGGAAAACAACAAAUGAGUAAAGAUUCUUAAGUUUAAUAUAACAUUUACUGAGGGCCUGUAUGUUGCAGACACUCACUGUGUUCCACAUUAGGAACAAAGAAGGAAAAGACAUGGCUCCACCCUCAUGUAAUCAUAUAAAUUAAUGCAGUCAUAUAAAUCAAUUUAAGACCUGCUAUGCCAGAUUUCCUGUCACAUCCUGAGUUGGCUGUGCAUUGGUAUAUGUGCCAGACUUACCACACCUUGAUUAAAAAAAAAAUGAAGCUGACAUUGCUUUUGACACAGAAAGCUCCUUUGUGAGGUCCUGACACUUGGGAAGAGGUGUGCCUCACACCUGAUUCAGUUCUCAGAGACAGGGAGAGGAAGUUGGAAAUGUUCUUCCAGGGAGACUGUACUGAUGAGGCAGCCAUCAGUCAUCAAUCCACAAGAAACAAAGAGUCUUUGUUUUUUUUUGUUUUUUUUUUGUUUUUUUUUUUAACAAAGAGUCUUUGAUUUCAGUGUCAGCUACAAGGCCAUACUUGUUCAUGCUUCUUCAACGUCGUCUGCUCAGACUACCAGAUAGAGUUCAUUGCCACUCUCUCCUUGCCAGCAGUAAGCAGAAGCAGGAACUCUUGCAAGAGAAAUGUUUGCCCAGAGCAGAGGAGAAGCUGGAAGAAGGUGGCUGUCCACAUUAAUGAAGAACAUGUUGAAAUCUCUCACAAAGAUCUCACUUUUACACUGGACACAUUGGCUUCACCAAAUUUACCCAAGAUAGAUAGAUGAUGACCUAAAAGGUAUGUUUAUUUUCUCUAUCUGAUAUUUUCUGCCAAAGCUGCUGGUCUUUCUAUUUCAUCACUUAUUCUUUCUUUUUGCUAUCUAUAAAGAUGACAUGACAAGUGUGUAGGACAUUUUGGCUAUAAGUACUAAUGUGGUUUUUUUGAGGUCGGUCCAUGGAAAUACCUGGAUGUGACAUACAGCGCAGGGCCGAGACGGGGUAGAUCAUGAAAAAUACUGCCUAUAAUUGUCUCCCCCUUAUCUGUGGGGUCUAUGUCCCAACAUUCCCAGUGGAUGGCUGAAAUUGAAUAGUCUGAACCCUUUUAUGUACUAUGUUUUUUCGAUACAUACAUAAGUAUGAUAAAGUUUAACUUAUGAAUUAGGCACAGUAAGAGAUAAAUAAAGACGAUAAUAAAAUAGAACA
rnacentral:lncRNA from 12 species